AUGCUGAUCACCAGUCUGCUGAGGGCAGUCAUAGCCGCCAUCUGUUUUGGAUCCAGCAAGGCCCAGAAGGUAACUCAAACUCAGAGUGCAAUUUCUGUGGUGGAGCAGGAGGCUGUGACCUUGAACUGUGUGUAUGAAUCCCGUGAUACUACAUAUCAUUUAUUCUGGUACAAACAACCAGCAAGUGGAGAAAUACGGUUCCUCAUUCGUCAGGACUCUUAUACUGAGCAAAAUGAAACAAAUGGUCGGUAUUCUGUGAACUUCCAGAAAUCAGCCAAUUCCAUCAGCCUCACCAUCACAGCCUCACAGCUCACAGACUCAGCAGUGUAUUUCUGUGCUCUGAGAGAGGCCACAGUGAGAUAG